rnacentral:rRNA from 1 species
UCAACCUACCCUAUGGACGGGAAUAACCUCGGGAAACUGAGUAUAAUGCCCGAUAGAACAUUAUGCCUGGAAUGGUUUAUGUUCCAAAUGAUUUAUCGCCGUAGGAUGGGACUGCGGCCUAUCAGUUUGUUGGUGAGGUAAUGGCCCACCAAGACUAUUACAGGUACGGGCUCUGAGAGGAGUAGCCCGGAGAUGGGUACUGAGACACGGACCCAGGCCCUAUGGGGCGCAGCAGGCGAGAAAACUUUGCAAUGUGCGAAAGCACGACAAGGUUAAUCCGAGUGGUUUCUGCUAAAGGAACCUUUUGUCAGUCCUAGAAACACUGAUGAAUAAGGGGUGGGCAAGUUCUGGUGUCAGCCGCCGCGGUAAAACCAGCACCUCAAGUGGUCAGGAUGAUUAUUGGGCCUAAAGCAUCCGUAGCCGGCUCUGUAAGUUUUCGGUUAAAUCUGUACGCUUAACGUACAGGCUGCCGGGAAUACUGCAAAGCUAGGGAGUGGGAGAGGUAGACGGUACUCGGUAGGAAGGGGUAAAAUCCUUUGAUCUAUUGAUGACCACCUGUGGCGAAGGCGGUCUACCAGAACACGUCCGACGGUGAGGGAUGAAAGCUGGGGGAGCAAACCGGAUUAGAUACCCGGGUAGUCCCAGCUGUAAACCAUGCAAACUCAGUGAUGCAUUGGCUUGUGGCCAAUGCAGUGCUGCAGGGAAGCCGUUAAGUUUGCCGCCUGGGAAGUACGUACGCAAGUAUGAAACUUAAAGGAAUUGGCGGGGGAGCACCACAAGGGGUGAAGCCUGCGGUUCAAUUGGAUUCAACGCCGGA